rnacentral:rRNA from 1 species
CGGCAAGCUUACACAUGCAAGUCGAACGGUAACUUUUGGUGCUUGCACCGAAAGACGAGUGGCGGACGGGUGCGUAACGCGUAUGCAAUCUACCUUUUACUAGGGUAUAGCCCAGAGAAAUUUGGAUUAAUCCCCUAUAAUAUCAAAAUUCCGCAUGGUUUUUUGAUUAAAGCUUCGGUGGUAAAAGAUGAGCAUGCGUCCUAUUAGUUUGUAGGUGAGGUAACGGCUCACCUAGACUACGAUAGGUAGGGGCCCUGAGAGGGGGAUCCCCCACACUGGUACUGAGACACGGACCAGACUCCUACGGGAGGCAGCAGUGAGGAAUAUUGGACAAUGGACGAAAGUCUGAUCCAGCUAUGCCGCGUGCAGGAUGACAGCCCUACGGGUUGUAAACUGCUUUUAUACAGGAAGAAAAACCCCGACGUGUCGGGGCUUGACGGUACUGUAAGAAUAAGGAUCG